rnacentral:rRNA from 1 species
UACGGGGGGGGCAAGCGUUGUUCGGAAUUACUGGGCGUAAAGCGCGCGUAGGCGGCUCUUCAAGUCGAGUGUGAAAGCUCCAGGCUUAACCUGGGAAUUGCGCUUGAUACUGUUGAGCUAGAGUGUGGAAGGGGCUACUGGAAUUCCGUGUGUAGCGGUGAAAUGCGUAGAGAUCAGGAAGAACACCGGUGGCGAAGGCGCUCUGCUAGGCCGCAACUGACACUGAGGGACGAAAGCUAGGGGAGCGAAUGGG